CUACGAUGAUUGUCACAACAGCAUAGCCUUCUUCAUUCCUCAUCUCCCUGACGCGGUUGCGCACACACACACACAAGGAAACAGCCGCGGACGCGCUCUCUGUUUUCGUCUUCGUUUCCGUUUGUGUUUGCGCCUUGGGUCUUCUUUCGCUUUUCCCUUCGCUGCUCUCCCUCCUCCCCUUGCUCACCGCCGCGACGUUCCGCUCCGGCCGACACACGCACAGCUGCUGCUCUUUCUGUUUUGUUCUUGCGCGUGCCUGGACGUGUGCGUGUGUGCCUGUCGGCACUGUCUGUACGACUGUACACGGGAGGGCGUAGGGUGCAGUACGAUCUUUAUCUAAAUAUAUAAGCACUAUAUUGUUGUUGGUUAAGGAAGGUGGCCGAAACCGAGCGCGAUUUUGCGGUCGCGCGUGUUUUCCUGACGCGUGUGACGUGUGCAAGUGCGUACGGUGUCAAACGGCUCAGCGAGCAACACACACAGCACACACUCAAAAAGAAACAGGAGAGGCUUUAACGAGAACGGUUAGCACCGAAACGGCGAACGUUAACGGAAGGAACCGCAUCCCCCUUCCCCUCCUUUCCCCUAACCUCUUCUACGUCGCGACAAGAACAGUGCUCCCGUCAUCCCUCUUGUCCUUUUUUUUUUAGGAGGUUCUCUUUCUAAUUCUUUCGGUUGCCUUUUUGGAUACUUCUCUUGCCCCUCCCCUCCCCCAUCAUCCUUCUUUUUUUUUUGCUGUCUUCUGCCAUAUCAUCGUGUGUUCUUCGCUCCUUGUUGUUUGGAGGGGGUUCUGCUUUGCUGGUCUUCUCUGUUCCUGCGUGUCCAUCACCCUCUCUCUCUCUGCGUGCGUCUGCGUCCAUCUGAGUGAGUCAGACGUGACUUCUCGCGCCGCGCGCUCCCUCAUUGUUAUCAUUCGGCUGUUUUUGUUGUUGUUUUGCUUGCCUUGUAUCUUCUAUCUGCCGCACCGCUGCGGGCAUUACUCAGCCCGCUCCGUCGACGUGGUGCGCCAAGCCGCCGUCUCUUGCCCUUUGCCCAAUUCGCUCGCCUCCGCCCUCCUCUUCACCCUCCUUUCCUAUUUCCUCAUCUUCCAG
rnacentral:misc_RNA from 1 species